GACGAACGCUGGCGGCGUGCUUAACACAUGCAAGUCGAACGGAAAGGCCCUGCUUUUGUGGGGUGCUCGAGUGGCGAACGGGUGAGUAACACGUGAGUAACCUGCCCUUGACUUUGGGAUAACUUCAGGACACUGGGGCUAAUACCGGAUAGGAGCUCCUGCUGCAUGGUGGGGGUUGGAAAGUUUCGGCGGUUGGGGAUGGACUCGCGGCUUAUCAGCUUGUUGGUGGGGUAGUGGCUUACCAAGGCUUUGACGGGUAGCCGGCCUGAGAGGGUGACCGGCCACAUUGGGAAUGAGAUACGGCCCAGACUCCGACGGGAGGCAGCAGUGGGGAAUAUUGCACAAUGGGCGGAAGCCUGAUGCAGCAACGCAGCGUGCGGGAUGAAGGCCUUCGGGUUGUAAGCCGCUUUCGCCUGUGACGAAGCGUGAGUGACGGUAAUAGGUAAAGAAGCACCGGCUAGCUACGUG
rnacentral:rRNA from 1 species